rnacentral:rRNA from 1 species
AUCCUGGCUCAGAUUGAACGCUGGCGGCAUGCCUUACACAUGCAAGUCGAACGGCAGCACGGGUGCUUGCACCUGGUGGCGAGUGGCGAACGGGUGAGUAAUAUAUCGGAACGUACCUUAUCGUGGGGGAUAACGCAGCGAAAGCUGCGCUAAUACCGCAUACGCCCUGAGGGGGAAAGCGGGGGAUCGUAAGACCUCGCGUUAUACGAGCGGCCGAUGUCGGAUUAGCUAGUUGGUGGGGUAAAGGCCUACCAAGGCGACGAUCCGUAGCGGGUCUGAGAGGGAGAUCCCCCACACUGGUACUGAGACACGGACCAGACUCCUACGGGAGGCAGCAGUGAGGAAUAUUGGACAAUGGGCGCAAGCCUGAUCCAGCCAUGCCGCGUGCAGGAUGACGGUCCUAUGGAUUGUAAACUGCUUUUGUACAGGAAGAAACACCUCUACGUGUAGAGACUUGACGGUACUGUAAGAAUAAGGAUCGGCUAACUCCGUG